CAAAGGCUUGGUCCUGACUUUUCCAUCAGCUCUAGCCAAACUUACACAUGCAAGUAUCCGCACGCCCGUGAGAAUGCCCUACAGUCCCCCACCCGGGGACAAGGAGCGGGUAUCAGGCACACAGCGAUGUAGCCCAUGACGCCUUGCUUAGCCACACCCUCAAGGGAACUCAGCAGUGAUAGACAUUAAGCCAUAAGUGAAAACUUGACUUAGCUAAAGCUUAGAGGGCCGGUAAAACUCGUGCCAGCCACCGCGGUUAUACGAGAGGCCCAAGUUGAUAGCCACCGGCGUAAAGAGUGGUUAGGGAAUAAAAAGAAUAAAGUCGAACGCCCCCAGAGCCGUCAUACGCUUCCGGGAGUAAGAAGCCCUACCACGAAAGUGACUUUAAGCAACCUGACCCCACGAAAGCUGGGAAACAAACUGGGAUUAGAUACCCCACUAUGCCCAGCCGUAAACUUUGAUGAUAUAACACGCACGUCAUCCGCCCGGGUACUAUGAGCACCAGCUUAAAACCCAAAGGACUUGGCGGUGCUUUAGACCCACCUAGAGGAGCCUGUUCUAGAACCGAUAACCCCCGUUAAACCUCACCCUCCCUUGUUUUCCCCGCCUAUAUACCGCCGUCGUCAGCUUACCCUGUGAAGGUCUUAUAGUAAGCAAGAUCAGUACAACUCAAAACGCCAGGUCGAGGUGUAGCAGAUGAGAGGGGAAGAAAUGGGCUACAUUUCCUGACCUAGGAAACACGGACAAGGCCCUGAAACUGGACCUUAGAAGGAGGAUUUAGCAGUAAGCAGGGAAUAGAGAGCCUUGCUGAAACCGGCCCUGAAGCGCGCACACACCGCCCGUCACUCUCCCCAAGCCGCCAAUAACCACUAGAUAAGAUGCUAAACAGGCAAAGGGGAGGCAAGUCGUAACAUGGUAAGUGUACCGGAAGGUGCACUUGGAUAAAU
rnacentral:ncRNA from 1 species